AGUUGCCAUGAUCUUUAGCUCUAGACUGCAUGGUCAACAACUAAUAAUAGAGCACCCGCUCUAAUACCACUUGUUGUCCAGAGAUAGCAAUCCAAGGAGGGGUGAAUGGGAUUCUUUAAAAAUUUUAGCCAAAUUAAACUCUAAGGCAAUUAUGUACUUCAAUUUAAACCUAACUUGAGUGAUUAUGUGGUCAUUGCAAUAUGCAACAGCAAAAAUAACUUAGUGAAUGCAAGAUAAGAAAGUAAAAUAAGUAA
rnacentral:lncRNA from 1 species